CACACACAGAGGAUGCUGCAGUGGCACGCCACUCAAAAGGUUUGUGCUGCACUUACUUUCUGGCUACUGAUCGAUCAUAAUACUAAUCCUUGAUUGUUUUCCUUCUAAAAAUAGACUACAUAUGAGAAACUGCUUUUCAGUGUUAAUAUAUACCUUCUUCCAUUCAAAUCUAUGACAACCAAAUUGCCUUCUCUGUUGGCAUGUGCGCACAACACCGCACAAGCAGGUCAAGUUCCAAG
rnacentral:misc_RNA from 1 species